GAUGAACGCUGGCGGCGUGCCUAAUACAUGCAAGUCGAGCGAAUGGAUUAAGAGCUUGCUCUUAUGAUGUUAGCGGCGGACGGGUGAGUAACACGUGGGUAACCUGCCCAUAAGACUGGGAUAACUCCGGGAAACCGGGGCUAAUACCGGAUAACAUUUUGAACCGCAUGGUUCGAAAUUGAAAGGCGGCUUCGGCUGUCACUUAUGGAUGGACCCGCGUCGCAUUAGCUAGUUGGUGAGGUAACGGCUCACCAAGGCAACGAUGCGUAGCCGACCUGGGAGGGUGAUCGGCCACACUGGGACUGAGACACGGCCCAGACUCCUACGGGAGGCAGCAGUAGGGAAUCUUCCGCAAUGGACGAAAGUCUGACGGAGCAACGCCGCGUGAGUGAUGAAGGCUUUCGGGUCGUAAAACUCUGUUGUUAGGGAAGAACAAGUGCUAGUUGAAUAAGCUGGCACCUUGACGGUACCUAACUAGAAAGCCACGGCUAACUACGUGCCAGCCGCCGCGGUAA
rnacentral:rRNA from 1 species